GAGUUUAUGAGCCUGAAGAUCAUAUUGUCACACUUGAAUAUAAACUUUAGUAUUUCUUCGUUAUUGUUGCAUUUAGGGAUUGGUGCAUGAGUGUUUGUGAAUUCAUUGAGAGAACGGACAAGAGUAACAAAAUCUAAAAUUAUUAUCAUCAUUAUAUUAUUCAGGGGUCUAAAUGACUUCCGCAAAAGUAAAUCAAGCCAGAAACAUGAGAGCUCACUUGGAAGAUAAACCGUAUCAUUGUUUACUAUGCCAAAAGAAAUAUUCUCACAAAUAUACUCUAGCAAAACAUAUGGCAUGGCAUGCAGGAGUGAAACCAUUUCGGUGUUUGAAGUGUUUGAAAAGAUUUUCACAGAAAUCUUGUUUAGUAAUACAUGAGAGGGUUCAUACAGGAGAGAAGCCAUACCAGUGUUCUCAGUGUCUAAAAAACUUUUCACAAAAAGCUAAUCUGCAGAGACAUAUGAAAGUUCAUACAGGAGAGAAAUUAUAUCAUUGCACUGAAUGUCCUAAAUCUUUUACACAAAAAAUUGCAUUAGUAAAGCAUACGAGAAUUCAUACAGGAGAGAAACCUUAUCAGUGUUCAGAAUGCUUAAAGGAUUUUAAACACAAGUCACAAGUAGAGGAUCAUAUGAGGGUUCAUUCUGGAGAGAAACCAUAUCAAUGUUUGGAAUGUUUAAAACACUUUUCUUUCAAAUCAAAUUUAACAGUACACAUGAGAGUGCAUUCAGGAGAGAAACCAUUUGACUGUUCAGAGUGUUUACAAAAAUUUGCUCAAAAAUCUGAUCUUGCAAAGCAUUUGAGGGUUCAUAGAGGUGAAAGACCUUAUCAGUGCUCCGAGUGUCAAAAAAGUUUUGCACUGAAAUCAAAUUUAAUUACACAUAUGAGAAUUCAUUCAGGAGAGAAACCUUAUCAGUGUUCAGAAUGUCUAACUAAAUUUGCACAAAAAUCUGAUCUUGUAAGACAUAUCAGAUUUCAUACGGGGGAAAAACCAUAUCAGUGUUCUGAGUGUCAAAAAAAAUUUAAAGAAAAAUCAACUUUAGUACAACAUUUUAGAGUUCAUACAGGAGAAAAACCAUUUCGGUGCUCUAGGUGUUUAAAAGCAUUCUCCUGCAAAUCGACUUUGGUGAAGCAUAUGAAAAUUCAUCAAGAAGAAAAGCCAUAUUGAUGUUUUGAUGAUCGACAUGUUGUGAUCUGUGGUGUAUAGUCACAUCUGCAGUUUCCCACAAAGUUUUGAUGCAGUUUUUUUAUUGUGAGAUAAGCCAUCAUGGGUCCAAAGAAGGACCAUUUCAGUAUCCUCACCUGCUUGAGGUUUAUAGACAAAGCCUGGACCAUGCAGGACCAUGCAGUCAUCAUGGAAAAAAUUCUGGCCUGACUUUGUGGCGGCCAGGAAUUUUGAAGGCCUUGAAGAUGAGCCAGAGCUGGUAGAGAAUAUUGUGUCCCUGGGGAAGAUCUUGGGCCUGGAGGUGACUGAAGAUGAUGUGGAGUUGAUGGAGGAGCAUAGAACUGAACUCCCCACAGAAGAACUUAUAGACCUUCUGUUGCUCCUCCACAGCAACAGAUUACAGCAGAGGAGCUAUCUUCAGUGGAAGAGAAGGGAAGGGAUAAUGUGCCCAUUGCACUUAUCAAGGAAGUGUGUGCUGAAUGGCAUCAAGUAGAGGAGUUUUUGUUGAAAAAUAUCAUCCAGACAAAACAGUGGCCAUGUCUCUAACAUGUACAAUGACAGUGUAAUGUUUCAAUUUAGGCAAGUGUUAAAAGAGCCUGAAACAAACUUCAGUGAACAAAUUUUUUAGUGAGGGAAUGAACCAGUGAGCCAGAACAAGGUGUUUGUGGUGAAAAGAGACAAAGAAGAGAAUACCAGGACAGUUGCCUGACAUGUUAACCCUUUUACUGCCGAGACCCUUGCUCAUAAACUUGCUAUCAGUGUCGAAAAAUAUUAAAAAAAAAAAAAAAAUUACGAAAAUAUUAAGAAUAGUAAUUUUCUGAGUGUUAUAAAAGAAAAAAAAAUUGCGAUCAGUAGUUAUCAAGAUAUAGAAACAUGAAAUUGAUAAAGUGAACCGCUUAUGGCAACAUCGGCAGCUGCCGCUCACUCGGACAUCGCCGAGGGGUCUGUAAAGUGGUCCCUACACUCCAACAGUGUCGAAGUUGUUGAUGCUUCAGACAUCCCGCUAAAUACUGCAGGUCUGCGGCGGAGGGCCCAGCCUGCGGUGCCAUGGAUCAUGCCGAUACCUCUUGCAGUCUUUCCCCCCACUUGUCUUAAUUGCAAUGAAACUUAUCCUUCUCUUUCUUGCUGAUGUCAGGUCUAAAUGAACAUGAAAUCUGUUGUCUUAUGGAGAGUGAAGGCCUUACUAAUGCUAUGGCUGUCUCUCGGCUCAACCUUCAGGGGAAUCUUCCUCAUGUUCCUUAUUCUUGAGUAGUUAGGAGACCUCCAACCUUGGUGGUUUCCCCUGUCUACCAGCUCCUCUGGUACCAUGUCUUCUGGGGCCACCCCCAUCUCUAAUUCUUUUGCAAUUUUACCUUCUCAAACCCCCCACCUCCUUACUUCUUCCUACUCUUACUUCUUCAUCUCGCCCGCUAGUUUCUCAGUCUACGAGGCCUUGCACGCCUGCAACUUUUUCAUGCCUAUCACCUGUCUUCUAAGCCCAAGUCUCUUUUCACUCCUUCAGUACUUACAAUUCCCCAACAGUUCUCCUUUUCAGCCUUGGUGCCUAGUUCUCACCCCCUUUCUAACUCUCACAUGAAGUUGGAGGCUCAACACCCCUCGGGUAGUACCCUUCCAGCCUCCUUCCUCUCCUGUUCCACCACAGGAUGCCUCUGUCCCAGCUGGCACAUCUCUCUAGGUUUAUACUCCCCUCCCCUCUCAGACCUCUUUGGUUCCCUCCACAGUCUCCCCAAUCUCUACUUGCUCUACCUCACCCGUCUCUGAAGUCAUGGUAUCGGCAUCUUCCUUGUCUGCUGAAACACUUGAUGCUAUCUCUGACUAUAUUGCAGAGGCGAAGCCCCCAAUGGACACCAGUGUGCCUCCUGAUACCCCUUCUUAAUUUUUGUAACCCUCGCAGCAAUCUUUUCCUUCACAGCAUUCUGAUUCUUCCUUGCUUACAUGCUUUCCAUUGCCUCCACGCAUUGACUUCACUGACCAUAUUAGCCCAUAGAUUUUAUUGCUUCUCAUUGUUGGCAUACCUAUCUUUGUGAAUAAUGACUUAUUUACACUGGAAUAUUUGUGGCCUCAGGGGUAAUCUGGGAGAGUUUCAGUUGUUGCUCUCCCAGUUUUCCCCAAUAUGUAUCGGGUUACAAGAGCCUAAAGUUCAUUAAGUAGUUAUUCGUCCUGUUUUGGUCUAUGUGCUGUUGCCUUCUUCUGAUCCCUUUCCUGAUGGAACUUUAAAUGAGAGUGCACUUCUUGUGCAUUUUGACAUACCAUUUUAACAGGUCUUUGUUCAUUCUCAGCUGCAUUAUACUGCAGCCUGUAUUUAUUUGCACAGGUGGUAUACAAUUUACUCUUUAUAUCUCUCCCCUUCCUGUGCAUUCUGUAUCUUGGAUGUUGCGUUCUUGAUCUCUGCCGCUCUUGUUAGGUGAUUUUAAUGCUCAUCAUCAUCUUUGGGGAUGGUCCCACUGUGACACUCGUGGUGAUCAGUUGGAGACUCUUCUCACUUCUCAUCCUCUUCAUUUUUUAAAUAUGGGUGCUCCCACCUAUUUUGACUCUUGCACUCAGUCUCUCUCUUGCAUGGAUCUUUUUAUCCAUUCCUUAUCAGUUGCCCUUGAUUAAGCGUGGUCUGUUCUCCUGGAUUUGCACAACAGUGAUCAUUUUCCUAUUAGUCUUACUUCUACUACUUAUUCCCGCCCUCCUCAUAGCCCUUGUUGGCAAUUUGGAUGAGUGAAUUGGAACUUAUACUCUCAUCUUACCGCUUUUUGUGGGGACCCUUCUUCCUCCUCUAUUGAUGAGCUGGUGCACCAGUUUUCUACCUUAGUUUUGACUGCAGCGUCACGUUCUGUUCCUCAAUCCUCAGGUAGGCAUUCUCAGAUAUGUGUGCUUUGGUGGUCUCCUGCAUGUGCCCGUGCAGUGCAUUUGAAAUGUGCUGCAUGGGGCCAUUAUUGAUAUAAUCGGACCAUGGCUCUGGUGGCCUGGUGGUUAACGCUCUCGCUUCACACGGCGAGGGCCUGGGUUCGAUUCCCAGCCAGAGUAGAAACAUUGGACGUGUUUCUUUCCACCUGUUGUUUAUGUUCCCCAUCAGUAAAAUGGGUACCUGGGUGUUAGUCAACUGGUGUGGGUCGCAUCCUGGGACACUGACCUAAUUUGCCCGAAAUGCGGAGCAUAACAAGGGACUUUCUAUAUAGUAGUAUGUCGUUGUUAUCAGCUAGGACUGUAUACCUUGUACAUGUACUUGUAGUAAAAUAAAGAUAUUAUUAUUAUUAUUGUUGUUUGGAUUUUAAGCGAGAAAGAGCACUCAUCGCAUCAUAUGUAAUGCUAAAUGCAUUACAUAUGAUGCGGCGAAUGACUGUAUUACAUAUGUGUCACCUUUGGAAUUUGUGAUCAUUUCAGAUUCCCUCAGUGUUUUACAGGCCAUUAAACAAUUUGAUUCCCCUUGUCCAUUGGUCCUUUGUAUUCAGCUUUGGUUGCACCAUGUGGCUAGCAAAAACAAAGACAUUUUCUGUUGGGUCCCUGGACAUGAUGUGCAGGGCAUUGAGUAGGCAGAUGCUGCUGCGCGGUCAGCGGUAUGUGAUCUUAUGGUUUCCUGUAGAUGUAUUCCAUUCAGGGAUUGUUUUGCAGUCAUCUCUGCCCAUCUUUGCAGCCAUUGGCAACAACGGUGGUUGGACAUGCACCAUAACAAGUUGCACUCUAUUAAACCACUUUUAGGUUUGUGGCCAUCUUCUUACCACCAAUUCUGUUCUCAGGAGACUGCCCAUCUCUGCAUUGGCCAUAUUCACCUUGCUCAUAGGUAUGUCAUGGAACGACACCUUGUUCCUCUCUGUGAGGUUUGUCGGGUCCCUAUUUCAGUUCUUCACUUUCUUGUGGAUUGUCCAGUUUACCAGCAAGCCCACAGGAUUUCCUUCACUCACACUGCCGCCCUACUGCUCCUACCUUAUCUUCCUUUCUUGCAGAUGGCCCUGCCUUUGAGUUAAAAUCAUUUUUUUACUUUUUGUCAGCAGCUGCUUUACAAACUUUGACGCACAGCCUCUAGUAUGUCUUCCAGCCCUUUUCUCCCCUCACCUCUGAUCCCCUCUCCAUCUAGCUGUUCAUAGCCCUGGCACUAUUUUCUACCCUGCAGCACUGCAUGACCCUUGUCAGUUUAGUGCUUUAUUUGGUUAUAAUAAUAAUAGUCCUGGAGCAAAGGGGCAUGUCCUAUGAGGAGAGGUUAAGGGAAAUCGACCUGAUGACACUGGAGGACAGGAGAGAGAGGGGGGAUAUGAUAAUGACAUAAAAAAUACUGAGAGGAAUCGACAAGGUGGACACAAACAGGAUGUUCCAAUGAUGGAGCACAGCAACAAGGGGUCACAAUUGGAAGUUGAAGACUCAGAUGAAUCACACGAUAUUAGGAAGUAUUUCUUCAAUCACAGAGUUGUCAGGAAGUGGAAUAGUCUGGGAAGUGAUGCAGUGGAGGCAGGUUCCAUACAUAGCUUUAAGAAGAAGUAUGAUAAAGCUCAUGGAGCAGGAAGAGUGACCUAGUAAAAACCAGUGAAGAGGCAGGGCCAGGAGCUGUGAAUCAACUUCUACAAUCACAACUAGGCAAGUACAUCUAGGUGAGUACAUCCAAUCUCUACACGUCUUUGACCUCUUCAAGGGGGGCCCCAUAGCGUGGUGAAGAGGCUCUUGGUCUGAGGAAUUAGACCUUUUGGUCUCCUUCCUCAGACUGAACCUAAUUACCCCCAAUCCCCCCUACCCUAUCCCAUCCUCCCUUUUUCCCUUUCCUCCCCAUCCCUCCCCAUCCAUCCCCUAUUCCCUUCCUCUUUUCGACCUGUGGCAUUCUUCCCACAGGCAAUCUAGUUCCUACGUAGGGGGAAGGAUACCAGGGUCCAUCUCAUUCCGUCGAGGUUCUUGGUAGUGGUAUAGUUUGCCGUGGAAUCUGGAUAACCUGGGGAUGUCCCGAUCUCUCUCCGGUCUCCCGGGGGGGGGGUGGAUUUGGGUGUCUUUCAGGUGACGGGUGUAUCUCUGGAGGCUGCCUGUUGGAUUCCAGGGGGUGGUAGCCAAAGGAGGUAUGCUUUGUGGUGGGUGUCCUGCCACCCCUCUCUUUUGUCCACUGAGGUGGCUCGGUAGAUGUGAGGUUGCUAUUCUGGAUUGCUGGUUUACUUGCAUGAAGGGUAGUGUAUGGCACAGGUUCCAUGCUGCAUCUGCACUACUUGUGGUGUUGAAGUCCUCUUGGACACGGAGGGGGAUUUACAGCCCUUUUUUGCCUCCUAGGAGCUAUUCCUCCAUGUUCCCUCCCCUUUUUUUUUUCUUCCAUUCUUUCUUUUUUUUUUUUUCUAAAAAGUAAACAUAAAGAAGUGAUCUAACCAUGGAGUGCCCAAUCCAUGAACCUGCUCCCCCUGGGCCCCUUGUUGAUACUGCACCCCACUCUGACCCUGCCUUGUUUUAUGACCACUCUUCGGACACUUCUAAAGCCCCUGUACCUCUUGCUGGUGCUGUUUCAUCACCAGCUUCAGGUACCAGGGUCUUGACUGACUCCUUUGAUACAUCUGACCUCCACUCUUCUUUGACUAUUCUUCUGGCCUCUCCCUCUAUGGUGCAGCAAUUUUCGAAUCACCAGCUUGUCCCACGUUGGACCAAUUCCGGUCCCACUCCUAAACGCCCACGACAGUUGCUUGAUGCUACUUCUUCACUUCCUUCUCAUUCUACUCAGAAAAGCCUGACAUGUCAUGCACUCCCUUUCCAUGUCCAGUUUCAGAAAGCACAAUGGACUAAAUUUUUUACUUUAUGACCUACUUCCUCUACUAUCUAUCUUUCCAACCUUAGUAUUGGCAAGGCACUCCUACACCAUGUUGGUAAAGAUAUAGCCUUUCACGCUCUCAAGAGUGGUACACGCAUCAUCACUGUCCAGAAUGCUGAGCAAGCUCAUGACCUUUCUCUUCUUUCAAAUAUCGAUAUUAUUCCUGUCGCUAUCGCAAAACAUCAUUCCCUCAAUUCUUGUAGUGGCACUGUCAUUCUGCCCCAUACCAUUGUCCAACAGAAUUUCCAGACAUGUGGCAAUAACAUUCUAGAACAGCUGGAACCCCAAGACCUCCCAAUCCUCAAAGUAGACACUUAUGUCCUUCCUGCCUGUGGGCAGAGAUGAUACCUUUGUAAUGUAGCUCGAGUAACUUUCGAUUCCCAUGAACUCCCAUCCUCUGUUUAUAUAGCAGGACAUCAUUUACAAGUUUGAAAGGUGAUUCCUACACCACAACAGUGUAGAAAUUGCUGGUGUUUUGGUCAUCAAGCGAAAUAUUGCAGGUCUGUAGUCGAAUGCCCAGUCUGUGGUGUCGAUGGCCAUUCCAGUACAUCUUACAGUCAACCUCGGCUCACCCAUCUUACUCUCGCUGUUGCCAAGUUUACUUAAAUGAGCAAGAAAUCCAUUGCCUCAGAGGCAGGUUUCCCUUAUGCUAUAGCAGUUUCUCAUCUAUGCCUCCAAAAGAGACUACCCCCGUAUUUCUUAUUCUCGUGUUUCUAAACAUCUCCCCACCUCUGGGGUCAAGAGGAUUGGAAAUGAGAGGAGUGUAGGUACUUGAGUCAGAGAGCAAGACAUCAGCUUGAUCGCAUCAAGAGAACUUUUAACAAAAAACUAAGGACUCUCUCCGACCUCUGUCCUCCUAACUUUGACCUUUUUCAAUGUUUUCUUGUCAUCUGUCCCUCUCUGCCCUAUUUCUAUGGCCUUCCCAAAACCCAUAAGCCUGAUAUUCCCCUACAUCCUAUCAUAUCCUCUAGAGGUUCUGUUUCUUAUUCUCUUGCUUCUUGGCUGGCCAAAACCCUCACUCCCUUUCUUGGUACUUUUUCUCCUGCCUGCCUUCGUCACUCUCAGGACUUCAUUGAACGGGUUCGCUCUCUCUCGACCUGUAAGAUGCUUAGUCUUGAUGUUGAGUCCCUCUUCACCAAUGUCCCUCUUGAUGAUAUCCUUCAUUUUCUUAGAGAGAAGGCCAAUGAAGGGUUUCUUCAUCUCGCUAUACCUAUUGAUGUCUUGAUCUUAUCUGCCUCUGUGUGGACUCUGAUUCCUUUUCCUUCCAAGGCAAAUAUUAUUCUCAAACCUUCAGUGUGGCUAUGGGCUCUCCUCUCUCUCCUGUCCUUGCUAAUUUUUACAUGGAAUACUUCGAGACUGUUCUUCUUCCUACUAUCGAUGUGUGCCCUUCACUCUGGCUCUGCUAUGUUGAUGACAUCUUUGCUCUGUGGUGUCAUGACUCUUGUCUCUUCCAACCAUUUCUUGAUGCUCUUAAUAAUCUUGCCCCUUCCAUUAAGUUUAAAGCUGAAUGGGAAUCUAACUUCUUGCUUCAUUUUCUUGAUGUUCAUGUCCACCGCUCAGAUACAGGUUUUGCCUUUUCCGUUUACCGCAAGCCUAUGCACAGUGGCAUGUACAUUUACUACUUUUCUUAACAUGCUUCCUCUGUCAAGAAAAGUGUUCUUAUCUUCCUGUUUCUCCAUGCUCUCUGCAUAUGUGAUCCUCAGUUCCUUCAAUCUGAAAUUUCCACUCUUCAUAAUUCAUUUUCCCAUCUUGGCUACCCUUCCCAUUUCAUUGAUUCUGCCUUCUCACAUGCUAAACGUAGUUUAUUCUCUCCCAAACUCUCUACUCCUGGGAACUCUUCUGUCCUCUGCCUUCCCUACAUUUCUGGUCUUUCUAAUCUCAACAACUCUCUCCAUUUCUUAGACAUCAAACUUACUUUCCACCAGACUAACACUUCAAACUAAUCUCGUUCAUACCUCUCCUUCCUCUACAGAUGCUCCUGGUGUCUACUCUAUUUCUUGUUCAUCCUGUCCUCUUCAAUACUUUGGAGAAACUGGUCGAUCUCUUUCUGACAGGCUAAGGGAGCACAAAAAUAGUGAUAGGCUUGCCGACACUAACAGUGCUCUUUUCUGUCACGUCAGAGAUCACAGCCAUCCUAUUGACUGGUCUUCUGCUAAAACUGUCUUCCCUACUUCCAACUUUAACAGUCGCCGUCUGGUUGAAUCCUCCCUAAUAUACAAUUUUCCUUGUGUGAAUCUUAGUCCUGGCUUUGUCUCUGUAGAUGCCUUCCUCUCCCACUACAUUGUAAAAUGCUCCAAACUUCAGAACACUCGUGACCUAACCUGAUUCCUCCUUCUUCUUCUUCUCCCUCUUCCUCUUUUCCUCUUUCCUUUUUCUCCUUUGGGUUGUCUUUCUUCUUCCCUGUGUAUUUGUUCCUUUUAUUUAUUUGUUCCCCCCCCCCUUGGUGUUCUUGCUCUUACCCUCUGUGGGCACCUAACUCCCUUGCAGUGCUCCUCUUUCUUAGUAUUUGACUGGUUUAAUAUCUUUAUUAUGCACCCCAUACCCAUCCUGUGGGCAGUAGUCAAAAGAUUACAAAGGUACAUAAUGGGUCCAGUGACUGGACCCCAAAGUUAUGAUAGCUGAACUAGUUACAAAGGUAAUGAACUCCAGGUAGAUCUGGUUACAAUCAUGGCAAGUUACAAAGGUAAUGAAUCAGCCUCAUUCCUAUACAUGGUUACAGUCAUGAACAAAUUACAAAGUAAUGAACCACUGAUACGUCCACACCUGGUCACAACUGUAAUGAGUUAUAAAUACAAAUAUUAAGUGGGUCAUACACCCACACACACGCACGCACACACGCACGCACGCACGCACGCACGUACACACACACACACACACACACUCACACACACACACACACACACACACACACACACACACACACACACACACACACACACACACACACACACACACACACACACACACACACAUAGUUUUAAGGCGAGGUAUGAUAGAGCUCAUGGGGCAGGGAGAGAGAGGACCUAGUAGCAAUCAGCGAAGAGGCGGGGCCAGGAGCUGUGACUCGACCCCUGCAACCACAAAUAGGUGAGUACACACACACACACACACACACACACACACACACACACACACACACACACACACACACACACACACACACACACACACACACACACACACACACACAACAAGACUAGUCCCAGAGCUACGGGGAUUGUCCUACGAAGAAAGGUUGAGGGAAAUCGGCCUGAUGACACUGGAGGACAGGAGGGUCAGGGGAGACAUGAUAACGACAUAUAAAAUACUGCGCGGGAUAGACAAGGUGGACAAAGACGGGAUGUUCCAGAGAUGGGACACAGACACAAGAGGUCACAAUUGGAAGUUGAAGACUCAGAUGAAUCAAAGGGAUGUUAGGAAGUAUUUCUUCAGUCAUAGAGUAGUCAGGCAGUGGAAUAGCCUAGAAAGUGACGUAGUGGAGGCGGGAACCAUACAUAGUCUUAAUUAAGGUGAGGUAUGAUAAAGCUCAUGGGGCAGGGAGAGAGAAGACCUAGUAGCAAUCAGCGAAGAGGUGGGGCCAGGAGCUAUGACUCGACCCCUGCAACCACAAAUAGGUAAGUACACACACACACACACACACACACACAUGGUAAUGCAUUAUUUACAGCUAGCAAAGUCAGGGUAUUUCUCCAAAAUGGUCUGUAAUAUACCACUGUGGAUAAAAUACUUUGCCAUUUCUUGACCAUUUCUGAGUGAGUUGUUUCUAAAUUCAUUAAUCUGAUCACACUCCAGUACAUAAUGACGCAGGGUGUGACAAUAGUCCAUCUGGCAAAGUUUACAUUUCGUUUGGUCUACAUCUGGUGGUGGUGAUUUAACCUGCCAUAGAUACUUAUGACCCAGCCGGAGCCGGGCAGUAGUGACAUCCAAGAGUCUGCUUAUUUUGUUGGAUGCACCAUAGACAUGUGGCUCCUCCUGCAUGAUAGAGUGAUGAUAGAUGGACUGACUUGUGUCAGUCUCCCUAAGUUUUAAGUCCUUGUGGCUUAGCGCUUCUUUUUUAUUAUAAUAAUAAUUUAAGUCAAUAAAGUUCAUUUGAAGUUCUUUUCAUAUUAUUGUUCUCAAACUGCUAACUGAUAACCCAAGAUUGUAAUCUACCCCCUCUUUGAAAGCAUACAGCUUAGCCAAUUUAUCAGUUCUAUCAUGCAUCUGAAGACCAAUGUGAGAUGGAAUCCACAGCAUGUGCACUCUGACUAUUUGACUGGCCCCUCCUACUCUUACCACCUCCCCACUACUACUUCGUUUCACCUCCACUACUACCACUACUACUACCACCUCCUGCCUAUAUAUACCCAUCCUGCUCUCCUUUUCAUUAGUGUGACUUUGUAAAUGGUCCAAGUCGGACCGAAACAUUGUUGUAAGCUCCUCCCUUUUAUGUGUGGGUUAUUUGUGUAUUGUUCCAGUCACUUUAUUGUGUCUUUUUGUUAUUUAUGUAUCAAUAAUACUUGGACAAGGGAUGAACAUGGGGAAUAUAUAAUAGCUAAAUUCAAAUCCAAAUACCUACAAAAACCUCUCACAGCAAUAAACAUCUACAGAGUACCACAGUCAAACAUUAGCCGUUUUAGUGAAAACCUAGGAAGUAUGAUAACUGAUGCACACAUGAAUAAAGAUCACUUACUACUCUCAGGAGACUUCAUUAUAAAUCUCCUGCAAGAUCAGGACUGACAUGUAACUGAAUUCACAAACACUGAGUAACUGCUUGUUGCUACCAACAGAAACAAAACCUACAAGUAUUACAGAGACUAGUGUUUCCCUAUUAGACCACAUCUGGACCAACACCAUAUCCCCUUGAAAAUCAGGCAUAAUCACAGAUAAUACCACAGAUCACUACCCUACCUUUCUCAUAAUCAAUCUAGGUAACUACCCUACCUUUCUCAUUAUCAAUCUAGGUAAAUUACCCCAAGACACUACUAAAGUAACCUUCAGGCUUCAUAAUGAGGCAGCCAUUAAUAACUUCACAACAGCAAUGACAAACAUCGACCAGCAAACUGAGCUAGAAAUCUAUACAGAUACUGACGAAUGUAUUAAUAAUUUUCUAAAAAAGAUCCUAUACCUCUAUAACAAGCACUGCCCUAAAAAAAAAACUAAACAAAUCACAGCUAAGAGACUGAACAGUCCCUGGCUAACACCCAGCAUCCUCAAAUCCAUAAAUAUAAAGCACUAGUAUGAAAAACAGUACAGAAUGGGUCAUAUAACCAGAGACCAAACAAAACGUUACUUGUCUAUCCUAACCAGCCUGAUAAGGGUACAAAAAAUUGUAUUAUGAGAAAAGAUUAUCCAACUUAAAAGACCUGGAAAACCCUAUCAGAAAUUCUAGGAACAAAAAAGAUAUCAGGAAACAGAACAAUCACACUAACAAAACCAGAUGAACCCUUACUCCCACCAACUGAAACAGCAGACUCGAUGCUUUCUUCUUCACCAUAGGAAAAAACCUUGUGGAUAAAAUCCCAAGCUCAAACACCCCACCUAAUGACUACCUCACUGGCACCUACCCGAAUACACUGUUCCUAGCUCCAACCAACCCAACAGAAGUCUCACUUAUUAUCAACACACUAUAGAACAAGGCAGGAGAUUUAAAUAACUUACCACCCUUUAUGUACAAAAAAAAGUUUCAUAAGUGCUGUCACCAGUUGUUGCAACACUCUUUAACAAAUCCAUCGAAUCUUCUACCUUCCCUACAGUUCUCAAAAUUGAGAGGGUCACCCCGAUACAUAAAGGUGGAGAUCAAGCAGACUUGAAUAACUAUAGGCCAAUAUCCAACUUACCCCUUCUCGCUAAAAUCUUUGAAAAGUUAAUUCAUAAGCGAAUUUAUUCCUAUCUCAUCUCCCACAACAUACUCAACCCCUGUCAGUUUGGGUUCAGGCCUAAUAAAAAUACAAAUGAUGCUACAUACAUGCUAGAACAAAUGUAUACACUGCACUCGAGAAAAAAGAAGUCCCAUUGGGGAUCUUCAUUGAUUUACAUAAAGCUUUUGAUAUAGUUGACUAUGAUUUGCUGCACAUAAAAUUAUCACACUAUGGUAUAAGAGGGCACUCCCUCAACUACCUAAAGUCAUACCUUAGCAACAGAAGCCAAUAUGUGUACACAAAUGGAGCAAACUCUUCCGCACAGCCAAUUACAGUUGGUGUCCCACAGGAAAGUGUCCUUGGCCUCUUCUCUUUCUCAUUUACAUAAACGACCUACCAAAUGCAUUGUAACUACUCAAACCCACACUACUUGCAGAUGACACUACAUACGUCUUCUCUCACCCAAGCCCAGUCAUACUAGCCAAUACUGUAAAUACCGAAUUACAGAAAAUAUCUACCUGGAUGAUGAUGAACAAAUUUACUCCCAAUAUUGACAAAACCUACUACAUUCAGUUUGGGAACAGAACUACAGAUGCUCCUCUUAACGUAAUGAUAAACGGAUCACCUAUCACAUAGCUAACAGAAGGAAAAUUCUUAGGAAUCCACCUUGAUAGUAGACUCAAAUUUCAAACACAUGUACAACAAAUUUCCAAGAAAAUCUCUUAAGACCGUAGGCAUACUAUCGAAUAUACGGUACUAUGUUCCACAGUCGGCCCUCCUGGCCCUAUAUCACUCACUCAUUUACCCCUAUCUCACCUAUGGAAUUUGUGCAUGGGGCUCAACAACAAUAAAUCAUCUCAGACCAUUAAUUACCCAACAAAAGGCUGCAGUCAGAAUGAUAACAAAUUCCCACUCCAGGCAGCAUACUCCACCAAUAUUGAAAACUCUAAACUUACUCACCAUACAAAACAUCCAUACUUAUUAUUGUGUCUACUACAUACAUAGAACACUAAACUCAGAUAUAAACCCUCCCCUCAAACUUCUCCUUACCAACCUCAACAGAACACAUGACCAUAACACAAGGCACAGAUCACUCUUUGAUGUUCCUCGUGUCUAUCUCACACUAUGUAAAAACUCAAUUCACUUAAAAGGCCCAAAAAUCUGGAAUUCAUUACCUGUGAAUAUAAAAGAAAUACUGUCUGAUUAUCAAUUCAAGACUCUUCUUAAAAACUGCUUACUCAACCACAACUAAAUAAAUACUAAAUAACUGAAUCUCAUAAAUGUAUAACUAUAACCUGUGGUGACUCUAUCAAACUAUGUUUUUUUUUUUAUUACAUUACCUAAUAGAAUACCCCAUUCUCUUGAAUGCACAGUAACUCAUCUAAUGACCAUAUAACCUGUUUCUGCACUACAAAUCAUUGAUUUUACUCAAUCUGAUUCGAUUACAUUAUACAUAGUUAUGCUACAAAUUUGUACAACUUUAAUGCUUCUUAUUUGAAAUACUCAUUUGUACUUCAUGUUGUAUUUUGUUUACUAUAAUUUUUACCACUGAAUAUAUCAUUGCUUAGUUAAUCUUAAGUUAAUUUUAAGCCUGCACAUAAUGCUCUGCAUACAAGGGGCUUUGGCAUGUACACCCAAUCACUAUAUUUCUUUGUACAACUAUGUAUCAUGUCCAAAUAAAAAAUAAAUAAUAAGUACAA